UGCCCUAACCUUAACGCCGAAACCUUCUUUUCCCCUCUCCUUCGCUAUCUUUCCCCGACGCCGACGCCAGCAUCUCCAGGAAGCCGAUCGCACCAGCGCCAUUCGACCCACCAUCGGUUGAGCUCCUCUUCCCCUCCAUCGACGGAGCUCGUCCAGUGGAUGUUCUUCCUCUCAAAUCGCCGACCGAGGCCCCUCUCCACCCGAUCCUCCGCCUCCACCUCCCGAUCUCGCCACAACGCCCGAUCGAUUUCUCCUGUCGCCCCUUCUCCUUGAUUCGAGUCGUCGCCUCUGCACAGCUUGAUCUUAGCCAAGAGCAAAGAUUCAACCCUAGCGCCGAUGGGUAGGUGCCACUGUCCUCGAUCCAUCGCCAUUGGCCAGCUCUCCCUUAGCGAUGUUCUUGACCAGAGGCCGAUAGAUGUGCUGGCUGGUCGUAGGCUCCACCUUCCCGAGACUUGGUUUUGAUUUCCACCAUGGCCGGAUGUGAUUUGAUGCAGCUAGAUCUUGACCAUGGGUGGUUGUGGCCUCUGCCGACAGUCAGAUCAAAUAUCGCCUGAACCUCAACACAGCGGACUUGUCGAUCGCCAUGAGCCAUCACCGGAAGAGCUAAGUAUUGUUGGAUUAGGUAGCAGUAGAUGAUUCAUGGAUGCUUGGAGAGAUGUCGGCUGCCAGUCCUGGGUCCUGCGUUAUAUCGGUUUUACUUCCGCUUUACUUGUAUUUUUAGUAUAUUGGUCUGUAUUUGGAGUUUGAUUCAUAGUGUUUUGUUUUCGUGAUCUUGUGGUUGUAUAAGCCUAAUUGGCUAGUAACCUUUAGUUGUGGAUUAUGAGUUUUUUCUUCAUUUUUUCGCUGUGUUUUUGAUAUAGCCGUGUGGGCUAAA